rnacentral:lncRNA from 1 species
GGAUACCAGUAAGCAAUUAAGAUUAAGUAAAAAGUAACGCAAUAAAAAAAAUAGGGGAUUAUUUUUUUAUUUUAGAAAUACGUGUAAAGUUUGUAAUAACUUUACGACGCAAUUUUGUUGAAGAACUAAACAACAAAUCAUCUCCACUUUAUAUUGAAUUGAAGAAGAACAUCGCAGCUGAGGUGAGAUUAAUGCAUCGCAUACUUUCAUAAGUUCAUCUUUAAAUCCAAUUAAAGAGCAAUUUUCUUUUACAUGUACCUUCCUUUUAAAUAUACAUUUCAUAUUGCUACGACUAUUGCAAUAAAAUUGGAAUUUGGAAAUAAUCUUUACUACACAUUCAACCAGCCAAACCGCUGACACAAAAUUGUGUUGUGAUUUGGGUCAAAUUUCACUUAUAUUAGUUGAAAAUAUUUUUCAAUGCGCAAAUAAGAUAAAUGUCACAGAUGACAGAUUGCACCAGAUAUCUCACUCAGCAAAAAUUGUGUCCGUGAUUUUUUAUGAGCACGCGUUGGCCGCCAUUUUGGCUGUAAAUGUAAUCCACGCCAUGAAACGUGACCAUGCAAUCACUACGGUGGCCGAUAAGGGCCACCUCUGCUGCAUGGAAACGCGACUGUGCUGCAUGGAAACGCGACUGUGCUGCAAGGAAAUGCGACUGUGCUGCAUGGAAACACGACUGUGCUGCAUGAAAACACGAUUGUGCUGCAUGGAAACACGACUGUGCUGCAUGGAAACACGACUGUGCUGCAUGAAACACGAUUGUGCUGCAUGGAAACACGACUGUGCUGCAAGGAAAUGCGAUUGUGCUGCAUGGAAACACGACUGUGCUGCAUGGAAACACGACUGUGCUGCAAGGAAAUGCGAUUGUGCUGCACAGAAAUGCACCUGUGCUGCAUGGAAAUUGACGAUCAACCUCGUACCAAGGGUCCCCGUGUUUAAAGGUUCUGGUGCACGAGUUGGGACCUUUAAACACGGGGACCCCUGGGUACGAAGUUGAUUGACGAUGUCAGUACAAACACAGGUGGCCCAAUAUCGCAAGCGUCAGUAUAGUAAUGUGUAUUAUAGCAAAAUUAUGUCAUAAAAUAUAAAUUUUAAAAUGAAAUUGACUUGCCUAUUUGAUAGUGUGUGUUCUCCUUUUAUUUCUCUUUUGUUAGACUAAUAUUUUUCGAGACUUUGCACUCGAUGGACGAUGGUACUAAUAUACAUACUAUAUGAUAAAGGCAAACUACUUACAAUCCAUCGUCGGCUUAUGCAAUAUUUUAAUUUUGGGAUAGGUAAUAGGACCUCUACAUGCGUCUUGGAUCUGUGGUGUACUUAAAAUCAUUAUUUAUCUAAUGGAUUACUGUUAUUUUCAACGGGGUCUUGAAAGUAGACCAUGCCGUGAAACAUUGUAUAAAAGGUGCACGCGUUGUUUUGUGUCUCUUUUUGUUAUUCCAUUGUAGAAAUAUCGUGAUCGAAGUUAGCAUGUGCUGUAUGUAAAGUUAUUACUUGGUAAUUGAUAGGUGUAAUUUGACGAUGCACAUGAAUUUAUCGAUAUCACAGGGUCGGAUUUGACCAUACUGCGAUGUUGUAAAUUAGGAAUUGGUAACAAGACUUGUGAUUUUGCGCUGUGUAAUUUUCCUGUAUCUCAUUUGAGUAAAUGAUUUUCUUAAAAAUAUCUUCACAGGGUCUGGAAAGUAGACCAUGCAGUGAGAUAUUGUAAGCUUAAUCCUUGUUGUUAACUGUGUAUUCCAUAAUCUGUCCGUCACAUGUGGUUAAGUCUAUGUGAGGAUUGUAGGUUUAUCCCUUAGUAUUAAAGUAUGGAUACAGUUAGAUUAUGUACAUACUCACAGGGUCUUGAAAGCAAACCAUGGCGUGAGAUAUGCAUGUCAUGAGUCCUAUGGUUUGUGUCAUGUAUGUAACUAUUGAUAGGUAGAAUAAGUAGUUGUUGUACAAUCUACAAAAAUGCGGUUUAUAGAAUCUGGCAGAACAUUUAAUUAUGCCACAAGGGUAAACUUUAUUUAAAAUUGGUGUCUUAGACUAAUCAUCCCAGAUGUUUUGUAAAAUGGCGCCCAGAUAAUUACGAUAAUUACGAUAAUUAUUAAUUACGAUAUUUCUACAAUGGAUUCACAUAUAAGGAUAUGCAACGCACUGUUAUACACGUGCACCUCUUAUACGGGGUCUCACGGCAUGGUCUACUUUCAAGGCCCCGUUGAAAAUAUAAGAAAUCCAUUGGGUAUAUGUGUGUAUAUGUAUGUAUAUGUGUAUAUGUGUAUAUGUGUAUGUAUGUAUAUGUGUGUAUAUGUGUACAUAUAUGUGUAAUGAAUAUAAGUAAACCACAGGUCCAAGACACAUGUAGAGGUCUUAUUACCUAUUCCAAAAUUAAAAUAUUGCAAGCCCUAUUACCAAUUCCUAAUUUGCAAUAUCGCAGUAUGGUCAAAUCCGGCCCUGUGAUAAAUUCAUGUGCAUCAUCAAAUCACACCUAUCAAUUACCAAGUAAUAACUUUACAUACAAUACACGCUAACUUCAAUUACGAUAUUUCUACAAUGGAUUUACAUAAAAAUACACAAAACAACGCACGCAUUACACGCGUGCACCUUUUACACAAUAUUUCACGGGAUGGUCUAUUUCAAGACCCCGUUGAAAAUAUAAGAAAUCCAUUGGAUGAAUAAUGAUUAUAAAAUAUAAGUAAACCACAGGUCCGAGACGCAUGUAGAGGUCCUAUUACCUAUCCCAAAAUUCAAAUAUUGCGAAUUUUUUUGGAGAAUAAAGCGAUUUGAGUGGGAGAAUUUUAGAUUCGAAGUGCCGUGCAGAUGGAUCGAUGAUUGUAAGUAGUUUGCUUAAAGUAUCAUAUAGUAUGUAUAUUAGUGUCAUCGUCCAUCGAGUGCAAAGUCUCGAAAAAUAUUAGUCUAACAAAAGAGAAAUAAAAGGAGAACACACACUAUCAAAUAGGCAAGUCAAUUUCAUUUUAAAAUUUAUAUUUUAUCACAUAAUUUUACUAUAAUACACAUUACUAUACUGACGCUUGCGAUAUUGGGCCACCUGUGUUUGUACUGACAUCGUCAAUCAACUUCGUACCCAGGGGUCCCCGUGUUUAAAGGUCCCAACUCGUGCACGAGGUUGAUCGUCAAUUUCCAUGCAGCACAGGUGCAUUUCUGUGCAGCACAAUCGCAUUUCCUUGCAGCACAGACGUGUUUCCAUGCAGCACAGUCGUGUUUCCAUGCAGCACAGUCGUGUUUCCAUGCAGCACAGUCGUGUUUCCAUGCAGCACAGUCGCAUUUCCUUGCAGCACAGUCGUGUUUCCAUGCAGCACAAUCGUGUUUUCAUGCAGCACAGUCGCAUUUCCUUGCAGCACAGUCGCGUUUCCAUGCAGCAGAGGUGGCCCUUAUCGGCCACCGUAAAUCACACAUUUUGGCAGUAAGCGCCGGUUUGGCUGUAAGUGUCGCACGUGUCUGCGUAGAAGUUGUAAGAAUUAAGUCAAGUCUGUGUAGAAGUUGUAAUAUAACAUCGUAAUGUUCUAUCAAGUAAAACCUUAUCUCAAAUUUGCUUUAUUUUUGUGUAUUUGUGUAGCUGUAUGAAAUAUUGAAAGACACUCAUAAUUUUCAAGAUGUUGUGGUAUUAGGAUUCAG